AACGAACGCUGGCGGCAUGCCUAACACAUGCAAGUCGAACGAGACCUUCGGGUCUAGUGGCGCACGGGUGCGUAACGCGUGGGAACCUGCCCUUAGGUUCGGAAUAACUCCCCGAAAGGGGGGCUAAUACCGGAUAAUGUCGUCGGACCAAAGAUUUAUCGCCUUUGGAUGGGCCCGCGUUGGAUUAGCUAGUUGGUAGGGUAAAAGCCUACCAAGGCGACGAUCCCUAGCUGGUCUGAGAGGAUGAUCAGCCACACUGGGACUGAGACACGGCCCAGACUCCUACGGGAGGCAGCAGUGGGGAAUAUUGGACAAUCGGCGAAAGCCUGAUCCAGCAAUGCCGCGUGAGUCAUGAAGGCCUUAGGGUUGUAAAGCUCUUUUACCCGGGAUGAUACUGACAGUACCGGGAGAAUAAGCUCCGGCUAACUCCGUG
rnacentral:rRNA from 1 species